CCCAGUUUAAAGCAGGAGGGCUAUAAGGCACAUUGAAACAGUGUCACACCCAAGGAGCACCCAGCUACAAGCAGAGAGUCCAUUCCAGGUGAUGGAGGGUGUUGCAGAUUCAAGAUCUUCAAGCACCUGAACACAAUUAAACUCCAGCUUACUUCUCCUAGACACUUCCACUUGGAAGUUGGAUCCAAGCUGUUGCAGUGUCUAGGGAAAGUAAGAAGGUUGUGAAUUUGGGCGACGUCCUAGUUUGAAGCAGGAAGCCUCUGAGGGAGAUUGUACCACACCUACCAAAAGCUAACAAGCAACGAGUUCAUGCCAGUAGUUUUUAUUUCACUGUUUACAGUCAUGAAUGUGAAAGAUUACAUCUUUGUCUCAUGGAGAUAAAUAUACUUUGUGCUACUGUUGUUUUAAAUACUUCUAGGGCACAUUUGAACUCA